rnacentral:misc_RNA from 1 species
AACGCACCUUGCACCUUUUGGUAUUCCGAAAGGUAUGCCCGGUUGAGUAUUAUGAACAUCUCAAUCCUCUGGCUUCUGAUCGCAAAGGUCGCAUGUUCGGCGAAGUCGUCUGUCGGGACGACGGUAGCUGAAGUGCGACUUGGAAGCCUGUUGGACUUGGACUUGAGCGACACGUCGGUCCUCCACGAUCGACCCGCUUGAAAUGUAUUAGCUGGCGACCCGCCUUACGGUUCCACUCGGCGUAGUAAGUUCUAUUCGUCGAGGACGCCUCUUUCGAGGUGGCCGAAAGCGCGCGUUUGAAGCCGCUUCCAGUCGUCUUUGGACGCUUUGAAUCUUUAAUCUCAACUCGGGUAGGACUACCCGCUGAACUUAA